GGUUCGAUGGCGUAGUUGGUUAUCGCAUCUGUCUAACAUUGGUACACAGAAGGUCCCCGGUUCGAGCCCGGGCCGAAUCA